GCCCCCCCGCCCCGCUGGCUGCUGCUCACAUGGUGUCUGGGCCCUUGGCACUCUGUUCAUGCGGGAGAUGGCAGGGGCUGGCACAUGACAGUGGAGCAGAAAUUUGGCCUGUUUUCUGCUGAGAUAAAGGAAGCAGACCCCCUGGCUGCCUCGGAAGCAAGUCAACCCAAACCCUGUCCCCCCGAAGUGACCCCCCACUACAUCUGGAUCGACUUCCUGGUGCAGCGGUUUGAGAUCGCCAAGUACUGCAGCUCUGACCAAGUGGAGAUCUUCUCCAGCCUGCUGCAGCGCUCCAUGUCCCUGAACAUCGGUGGGGCCAAGGGGAGCAUGAACCGGCAUGUGGCGGCCAUCGGGCCCCGCUUCAAGCUGCUGACCCUGGGGCUGUCCCUCCUGCAUGCCGAUGUGGUUCCAAAUGCAACCAUCCGCAAUGUGCUUCGCGAGAAGAUCUACUCCACUGCCUUUGACUACUUCAGCUGUCCCCCAAAGUUUCCUACUCAAGGAGAGAAGCGGCUGCGUGAAGACAUAAGCAUCAUGAUUAAAUUUUGGACCGCCAUGUUCUCAGAUAAGAAGUACCUGACCGCCAGCCAGCUUGUUCCCCCAGCUGACAUCGGCGACCUCCGGGAGCAGUUAGUAGAGGAGAACACAGGCUCCUUGUCGGGCCCAGCGAAGGACUUUUACCAGCGGGAGUUUGAUUUCUUUAACAAGAUCACCAACGUGUCGGCUGUCAUCAAGCCCUACCCUAAAGGCGACCAGAGAAAGAAGGCUUGUCUGUCGGCCCUGUCUGAAGUGACGGUGCAGCCAGGCUGCUCCCUGCCCAGCAACCCUGAAGCCAUUGUGCUGGACGUCGACUACAAGUCUGGGACCCCGAUGUAGAGUGCUGCAAAAGCCCCAUAUCUGGCCAAGUUCAAGGUGAAGCGAUGUGGAGUUAGUGAACUUGAAAAAGAAGGUCUGCGGUGCCGCUCAGACUCUGAGGAUGAGUGCAGCACGCAGGAGGCCGACGGCCAGAAGAUCUCCUGGCAGGCAGCCAUCUUCAAACUGGGAGACGACUGCCGGCAGGACAUGCUGGCCCUGCAGAUCAUCGACCUCUUCAAGAACAUCUUCCAGCUGGUCGGCCUGGACCUCUUUGUUUUUCCCUACCGCGUGGUGGCCACUGCCCCUGGGUGCGGGGUGAUCGAGUGCAUCCCCGACUGCACCUCCCGGGACCAGCUGGGCCGCCAGACAGACUUUGGCAUGUACGACUACUUCACACGCCAGUACGGGGAUGAGUCCACUCUGGCCUUCCAGCAGGCCUGCUACAACUUCAUCCGAAGCAUGGCCGCCUACAGCCUCCUGCUGUUCCUGCUGCAGAUCAAGGACAGACACAACGGCAACAUUAUGCUGGACAAGAAGGGCCAUAUCAUCCACAUCGACUUUGGCUUCAUGUUUGAAAGCUCGCCGGGCGGCAAUCUCGGCUGGGAACCCGACAUCAAGCUGACGGAUGAGAUGGUGAUGAUCAUGGGGGGCAAGAUGGAGGCCACACCCUUCAAGUGGUUCAUGGAGAUGUGUGUCCAGGCUACCUGGCUGUGCGGCCCUACAUGGAUGUGGUCGUCUCCCUGGUCACUAUCAUGUUGGACACGGGCCUGCCCUGUUUUCGCGGCCAGACAAUCAAGUUCUUGAAGCACAGGUUUAGCCCCAACAUGACUGAGCGCGAGGCUGCAAAUUUCAUCAUGAAGGUCAUCCAGAGCUGCUUCCUCAGCAACAGGAGCCGGACCUACAACAUGAUCCAGUACUAUCAGAAUGACAUCCCCUACUGAGGAGGGGACCUUCGAGGGCCUCUGCCCCAUGUGCCCUUGAAGCUGCCCCACAAUCAUGGAGCCCUGCGACCUACCCGCCCUGCCGCCACAUGCAGUGGAGGAGAGGCCUGUGGCCCGAAGAGCCUGGUAGCGCCUCCUGGGGCAGCACGUGGGUGGCGCAGGCUUAGUAACGCCGUGGACUGCAGCGACAAUCAGUGGAUGGUGCUGUCUAUGCACAGGUGUGAGUCCUCUGUUUGCACUGGACAUAUUCCCUACCUGUUUUAUUUCAUAGGUACAUGAAGUAUUGUGUAUAAAAAAAGAGAUAAGAUUUAACCAACAUCAACAAAAUAAAAACCCAAAAUAGUGC
ensembl:lncRNA PI4KAP1 phosphatidylinositol 4-kinase alpha pseudogene 1